rfam:Picea glauca, whole genome shotgun sequence.
GCAUGCCUACAACAUAGAAUUAAUGCACUGGAUCCCAUUAGAACUUCGUAGUUAAUCAUGGUCAGGAUAGAGUAGUACUAGGAUGGGUGACUGCCUGGGAAAUCCUAGUGUUUUACAUGCC